GGGGAAAUAGCUCAAAUGGUAGAGUGCUUGCUUAGCAUGCGAGAGGUAGUGGGGUCAAUGCCCACAUUCUUCA
rnacentral:tRNA from 1 species